GGAACAUAGCUCAGUUGGUAGAGUGAUUGCCUCACAUGAACAAGGCCCUGGGUUCAAUCCCUAGUACCA
rnacentral:tRNA from 1 species